CACUUGGCAAAUCAGGAUUCAGUGAAGAAUCUGUCUCUCCUUAAUUGCUCUGCUCAUUGUUUUAUAAAACUACAAGGUGUCCAUACCAGUUGUCAGCAGGCCCAGGCUGUAGUGAACCCCAGAGAAGGAGAGCCGAGUAAAUGAACACUCUGAUCCUGACUGAGAGGAGAGGGAGCAGACUGUGUCCAAGUCCAUGCGAAACCUCCUCUGUGCCCCCGGAAGACUGCAAACCAACAGCCUGGGGAAUGAAGAAGAGAUCUCUCGGGGAGGCUGCUACCCUCCCUGGGAAAGAAGAGCAGCUGGCCAAGGAAUCCAGAAGUGCAGGCACGAGGAGGCUCUGCAGCAUGCUGCCUCUUCCCUGGGGUGAGACACUGCUGCUGGGAUACCAGGCUAAAGUUUACAGUGGAUGUCUCUUACAUUCCUAAUGGAAGGCAUGAGAGAAGGUACGAUUUGGGGACAGCAAGCUGAGGUUGUCACCGAGCAUGGCGGGAGCCAAGCCCCACAAGCACCCCUUCUUCAGAAGAACACAGCCUUCUCUUCUCUUGUCUCUUCUCAGCCACCUGGCCACAAGAAUAUGCUAUAAAACACAAAUACAGGGGGAAGGACUACCUGCCCUUCUGGGACCACUCUCAAGCUCUUCCCAUACCCUUCCAAUAGCAUACCUCCCAGCCACCAAAGGUCAUCUUUCUUGCAUAUCAUGAGUUUCUUUUGAGGCCUGGAAGUCAACCAAGAAUAACUUGGAGGCCAUGAGUCCCACCCAGCCAUGAUUCUCCACUGCAGAAUCUCCAGCCCUUUCAUUAGCCUCCAAGUUAAAUUAUAAGAAUUUCUGUCUCUUCCACCCCCAAAUUCAACGAUUGACAUGUAUGACCUACUCCCAUGUGCAUGUGUAUGUUUGUAUGUCUGUAUACCUGCCUGCCUCUGUCUUUCUUUCCCUCCUACCCUCCAUCUCCCAUUUCCUAUUCUGUCUACCAUGAUAAGCCAGUAUAUCCCCCCUCUCUUCCCCUCUCUCCCUCUAUCCCCCA
rnacentral:lncRNA from 1 species